rnacentral:rRNA from 1 species
CCUACGGGUGGCUGCAGUGGGGAAUAUUGGGCAAUGGGCGCAAGCCUGACCCAGCAACGCCGCGUGAAGGAAGAAGGCUUUCGGGUUGUAAACUUCUUUUCUCAGGGACGAAGCAUGUGACGGUACCUGAGUAAUAAGCCACGGCUAACUACGUGCCAGCAGCCGCGGUAAUACGUAGGUGGCAAGCGUUAUCCGGAUUUACUGGGUGUAAAGGGCGUGUAGGCGGGACGGCAAGUCAGAUGUGAAAUCCACGGGCUCAACCUGUGGCCUGCAUUUGAAACUGUAGUUCUUGAGUACUGGGGAGGCAGACGGAAUUCCUAGUGUAGCGGUGAAAUGCGUAGAUAUUAGGAGGAACACCAGUGGCGAAGGCGGUCUGCUGGACAGCAACUGACGCUGAGGCGCGAAAGCGUGGGGAGCAAACAGGAUUAGAUACCCGAGUAGUC